GACAGAGGUCCCGAGCGUUAGGCGGAAUCACUGGGCUUAAAGCGUGUGUAGGCGGCGGCCUAAGUACCUUGUGAAAUCCCACGGCUCACCCGUGGAACUGCUCGGUAUCUGGGUCGCUUGAGCCACUUAGGGGCUACCGGAACAAAUGGUGGAGCGGUGAAAUGCGUAGAUAUCAUUUGGAACGCCAAUGGUGAAAAACAGGUAGCUGGGAGUGUGCUGACGCUGAGACACGAAGCCAGGGGAGCAAACGGG
rnacentral:rRNA from 1 species